rnacentral:rRNA from 1 species
AAAUUGAAGAGUUUGAUCAUGGCUCAGAUUGAACGCUGGCGGCAGGCCUAACACAUGCAAGUCGAGCGGUAACAGGAAACAGCUUGCUGUUUCGCUGACGAGUGGCGGACGGGUGAGUAAUGUCUGGGAAACUGCC